CAGCACCUCAAGUGGUCAGGAUGAUUAUUGGGCCUAAAGCAUCCGUAGCCGGCUCUGUAAGUUUUCGGUUAAAUCUGUAUGCUCAACAUACAGGCUGCCGGGAAUACUACAGAGCUAGGGAGUGGGAGAGGUAGACGGUACUCGGUGGGAAGGGGUAAAAUCCUUUGAUCUAUUGAUGACCACCUGUGGCGAAGGCGGUCUACCAGAACACGUCCGACGGUGAGGGAUGAAAGCUGGGGGAGCAAACCGGAUUAGAUACCCGAGUAGUCC
rnacentral:rRNA from 1 species